rnacentral:rRNA from 1 species
GAUGAACGCUAGCUACAGGCUUAACACAUGCAAGUCGAGGGGAAACGGCAUUAAGUGCUUGCACUUUUUGGACGUCGACCGGCGCACGGGUGAGUAACGCGUAUCCAACCUUCCCAUGGCUAAGGGAUAACCUGCCGAAAGGCAGACUAAUACCUUAUGGUCUUCACUGACGGCAUCAGAUGUGAAGUAAAGAUUUAUCGGUUAUGGAUGGGGAUGCGUCUGAUUAGCUUGUUGGCGGGGUAACGGCCCACCAAGGCAACGAUCAGUAGGGGUUCUGAGAGGAAGGUCCCCCACAUUGGAACUGAGACACGGUCCAAACUCCUACGGGAGGCAGCAGUGAGGAAUAUUGGUCAAUGGGCGAGAGCCUGAACCAGCCAAGUAGCGUGCAGGAUGACGGCCCUAUGGGUUGUAAACUGCUUUUGUAUGGGGAUAAAGUCAAUCACGUGUGAUUGUUUGCAGGUACCAUACGAAUAAGGACCGGCUAAUUCCGUG